GCAUGCAGGCUCAAGAAUAGCAGUCAUGAACCAGUAUGUAACCAAAUCUGGUUAUAAAUAUAGGUUUGAGAAAAACGUAUCACUUAUCAGGAGAGAUGGGAACCAUGAAGGGUCUCGGGAACAUCCAAGAGGAGGAGUCAGCAAUGCAACUGGAAGAGAGAUGCAAGAAUUCAAAAUUUCAACGGGAACAAUUUGCAUUGUGUGAGAUAAAGGAUGCUAAUUUGUUGGCAGGUAGAGUCUGGCCGAAGCACUGCCAUGGAGAAUGCAAUAAAGAACAGUU